CACGUAGGGUGCGAGCGUUGUCCGGAAUUAUUGGGCGUAAAGAGCUCGUAGGCGGUGUGUCGCGUCGGCCGUGAAAACCUGUGGCUUAACUGCGGGCUUGCGGUCGAUACGGGCAUCACUGGAGUUCGGCAGGGGAGACUGGAAUUCCUGGUGUAGCGGUGAAAUGCGCAGAUAUCAGGAGGAACACCGGUGGCGAAGGCGGGUCUCUGGGCAGUAACUGACGCUGAGGAGCGAAAGCGUGGGGAGCGAACAGG
rnacentral:rRNA from 1 species